AGUUGGUGGAGUGAUUUGUCUGGUCAAUUCCGAUAACGAACGAGACCUCAGCCUACUUUUGUAGUUUGGCGAAUCCUUGGAUUCGAUUGGACUUCUUAGAGGGACUGUCGGUGUUUAGCCGAUGGAAGUUUGAGGCAAUAACAGG
rnacentral:rRNA from 1 species